rnacentral:rRNA from 1 species
UGCAGUCGAGCGAACGGAUAAGGAGCUUGCUCCUUUGAAGUUAGCGGCGGACGGGUGAGUAACACGUGGGUAACCUACCUAUAAGACUGGGAUAACUUCGGGAAACCGGAGCUAAUACCGGAUAACAUUUAGAACCGCAUGGUUCUAAAGUGAAAGAUGGUUUUGCUAUCACUUAUAGAUGGACCCGCGCCGUAUUAGCUAGUUGGUAAGGUAACGGCUUACCAAGGCGACGAUACGUAGCCGACCUGAGAGGGUGAUCGGCCACACUGGAACUGAGACACGGUCCAGACUCCUACGGGAGGCAGCAGUAGGGAAUCUUCCGCAAUGGGCGAAAGCCUGACGGAGCAACGCCGCGUGAGUGAUGAAGGGUUUCGGCUCGUAAAACUCUGUUAUUAGGGAAGAACAAAUGUGUAAGUAACUGUGCACAUCUUGACGGUACCUAAUCAGAAAGCCACGGCUAACUACGUGCCAGCAGCCGCGGUAAUACGUAGGUGGCAAGCGUUAUCCGGAAUUAUUGGGCGUAAAGCGCGCGUAGGCGGUUUCUUAAGUCUGAUGUGAAAGCCCACGGCUCAACCGUGGAGGGUCAUUGGAAACUGGGAAACUUGAGUGCAGAAGAGGAAAGUGGAAUUCCAUGUGUAGCGGUGAAAUGCGCAGAGAUAUGGAGGAACACCAGUGGCGAAGGCGACUUUCUGGUCUGUAACUGACGCUGAUGUGCGAAAGCGUGGGGAUCAACAGGAUUAGAUACCCUGGUAGUCCACGCCGUACACGAUGAGUGCUAAGUGUUA